rnacentral:rRNA from 1 species
UCGAGGAUCAUUCGCAAUGCGCGAAAGCGUGACGAUGCGACGCUGCGUGGAGGAUGAAGGCCUUCGGGUCGUAAACUCCUGUCAUUCGGGAACAAUGCCAUGGGAAUUAACAGUUUCUGUGGAGGGAUAGUACCGGAAGAGGAAGUCACGGCUAACUCUGUGCCAGCAGCCGCGGUAAUACAGAGGUGGCAAGCGUUGUUCGGAUUUACUGGGCGUAAAGGGUGCGUAGGCGGUUUUGCGUGUCGGAUGUGAAAUUCUGCCGCUCAAUGGCAGAACUGCGUUCGAAACUACAGAACUUGAGUGCAGGAGAGGAAAGCGGAAUUCUUGGUGUAGCGGUGGAAUGCGUUGAUAUCAAGAGGAACACCGGUGGCGAAGGCGGCUUUCUGGAAUGCAACUGACGCUGAGGCACGAAAGUUGGGGGAGCAAACAGG